rnacentral:rRNA from 1 species
GACGAACGCUGGCGGCGUGCCUAAUACAUGCAAGUAGAACGCUGAAGGAGGAGCUUGCUUCUCUGGAUGAGUUGCGAACGGGUGAGUAACGCGUAGGUAACCUGCCUGGUAGCGGGGGAUAACUUUUGGAAACGAUAGCUAAUACCGCAUAAGAGUAGAUGUUGCAUGACAUUUGCUUAAAAGGUGCAAUUGCAUCACUACCAGAUGGACCUGCGUUGUAUUAGCUAGUGGGUGGGGUAACGGCUAAUCAAGGAGACGAUACAUAACCGACCUGAGAGGGGGCGCGGCCACGCUGGGCUGGAGAGACGGCCCAGAAUCCUGCGAGAGGCAGACGUAGGGGAUCUUCAGCAAUGGACGGAAGGCGGACCGAUCGACGCCGCGUGAGAGACGAAGGUUGUCGGAUCGUAAAGCUCUGUUGUGCGAGAGGAUUGAGUAUGAGUGUUGAACGUUCAGACUGUGACGGUACCUGACCAAAAAGCUCCGGCUAACUACGUG